UUCCCAACCCCUUGAUACUGUGUGUGUUGCGCGAAGUGCUGCUGCUCUCUCCGGUCGGCCGAACGAGUGUGGUGCUGCUGUUCACAGCGCCGCUGGUCGGCCGCGGUCGAGGGACGGCGGAUGCGGAAUGAGAAUCACUCUGAGCGGUGGAUCACUCGGCUCGUGGGUCGAUGAAGAACGCAGCCAGCUGCGUUAAGUAGUGCGAAUUGCAGACACAUUGAGCACUAAGGCUUCGAACGCACAUUGCGCCAUCGGGUUCAUUCCCGUUGGCACGUCUGGCUGAGGGUCGAUACGUGAAACGUAACAUAGCACGUGCAGCUAGGCACGUUAUGUCGGUGCGCUACUGGCAGGCACGCACGCACACGCUUGGUGCUGCUACUGCUGCUGUCGGUACCGUGCUCAGAGUCGAGACUGGUGAGGCCGGAACGCAUGGUUCGUGAGCGCGGACGCGCUCACGAAAAUGGCCUUCACCACAAGCGAGCGGCGUCAUGCGGCGCGCGUUCGUCGAGCUGCGGUGCACCCGAGAGCUGCUACUAUACUCUGGUUAGUGGGUAGCACCGGCAGGCUCGAAGUGCGCGCUAGGAAGGGCGCGCGCUGCUUUGCUGCUCAUUCAUUUUGACCUCAGCUCAGUCGUGAGUACCCGC
rnacentral:rRNA from 1 species